UAAAUGACUGGAUGGUCGCUGCUUUUUAAGUUUCAAAUUGACAUUCCAGACAAGCGGUGCCUGAGCCCGUGCCUGUCUUCAGAUCUUCACAGCACAGUUCCUGGGAAGGUGGAGCCACCAGCCUCUCCCUGACUUUGAAGAUCUGUCGUUUUAGAAAAGUGGCUGCCUCUGUCACCAGCCCCAUGGUUACUGUCCUGUAGUGUGACUGUCAGGAGGUGUUUCUCAGUCCUUCGUUGUAAGAAUGUAGAUGCCGGUUGCACCUUCUGUUGUCUUGGAAGAGACUGCAGUGCUUGGCUGGAAAAUAAGCUGCUCGGGACUCCUCUGAGAAGCCAAAGUGAAGCUCAGAGAUGGAAAAUAACUGGGAGAUGAAACAGGAAGCUCUAUGACACACUUGAUCGAAUAUGACAGACACUGAAAAUCACGACUCAUCCCCCUCCAGCACCUCUACCUGUUGCCCGCCGAUCACAGCCGGAAUGCAGCUGAAAGAUUCCCUGGGGCCUGGUUCCAACUGCCCACUGUGGACUCUGAGGCCUCUGCAUUUGCGGGUGGUCUGCCUGUGAUAUUUUGGUCAUGGGCUGGUCUGGUCGGUUUCCCAUUUGUCUGGCCAGUCUCUGUGUGUCUUAAUCCCUUGUCCUUCAUUAAAAGCAAAACUAAAGAAAA
ensembl:lncRNA MIR4435-2HG MIR4435-2 host gene